CAUAGUAGUAAUUACUUAAGUAAGUUACGAUUACUUUUUCAUCAUCAUAUUAAAUUGUAAUCAAACGUGACUCAUCAGAUGGGUAACACUAAAGGAGCACCUACGUGACAUGUAGCUCGUACGAGAUUUCAAAAACUAUUAUCGACUUUUCGUCAUUAAUUAUUAUAUCAAUUGUGCGCUCAGCUGACGUUUAUAGAGUAUUAUAUUGAUUAUAUCUAUCCAAUAUUUAAUGACAUCAAAAUCAAGGCCAUCGUUAAAAUUUAUCCAAAAUACGUGAUUGCUCCUAUAUCUAAGAUUCAAUUUCUUGCAUAAUAAAGAUUCUUCUCUGCGUAAAUUAGGAGGUACAUAGACAAUGCUUACAAAAUAUAAGAUUAACAAUGAUUACUCUGUGAAUCAUUCAUUAUUGCUUCGUAACGAAUUCAUAGAUGACUUUUAUAAAUUAUUUCUUAUCAUAAUUAGCUGAUGUACGUCAAAACAAUAUGACGUUGUUUUUUACAAAGUUAAGUCAACACGAAAAAUAGUAUUUAAAGGUAAAGAGGCUCGACUAUUAAUCAUAACCAAAAAGUCUGUGUUGAUAUUUAAUACAAGCUAAGAAAAAUAAUAUUCAGUUUACAUUUCUUCUUAUUAAUUAUCGUUAUCAACAAACAAUUGAUAAAAUCCAAAAUAUUCAAAUUGUGUCAGUGAAUUUUAUUCAACAAAUAUGAAUUCGAAUUUCUUCUUCUUGUGUUUUGUAUUCACUUUGAUCACUCUGACCAUCAGUCCGGCAAAGGCUUUUAUUCUAAUGAAUCAGUCGAAGCAAAACUACGAUGAUUAUAAUAACAUUCCAAUUGAAAUAAAUGA